rnacentral:rRNA from 1 species
ACGGGAGGCAGCAGUGGGGAAUAUUGCACAAUGGGCGCAAGCCUGAUGCAGCCAUGCCGCGUGUGUGAAGAAGGCCUUCGGGUUGUAAAGCACUUUCAGCGAGGAGGAAGGGUACAGUGUUAAUAGCACUGUUCAUUGACGUUACUCGCAGAAGAAGCACCGGCUAACUCCGUGCCAGCAGCCGCGGUAAUACGGAGGGUGCAAGCGUUAAUCGGAAUUACUGGGCGUAAAGCGCACGCAGGCGGUUUGUUAAGUCAGAUGUGAAAUCCCCGCGCUUAACGUGGGAACUGCAUUUGAAACUGGCAAGCUAGAGUCUUGUAGAGGGGGGUAGAAUUCCAGGUGUAGCGGUGAAAUGCGUAGAGAUCUGGAGGAAUACCGGUGGCGAAGGCGGCCCCC